ACAAAUCAGUUGUUUUACGAUAAGAUGAUAAACAUUUUAGUUAAAAGUAAAAAUUUUAGAAAUGAUAUAUGCACUGCAGUAUGUACAGUAACUGGAAACAAACCUUCUAUACAACUGUAUUUAUCAUAGCCGGUUACAUAUUAAUUAAUUAGGUUCAUGUAUAUUAAAUUUCGUAUCGUUUCGUGGCAUCUGCGUGUGACUACAAAAAUUUGCACUAAGAAAAUGAAAUGUAAAAUGUAAUCAAAAAAAACAUUUUAUUGGAAAAUAACUGUACGUGCAAAUACCUCUUGCAGGCACUUUAAACUUUUAUCUAGAGUUCAAGAGUCAAUAGGAGAUUGACUGAAGCUGUGGAACACGUGCUUUCGCACGGUUGUUAUCGCAACUCGCAACAGUUUCCAUGUAAUUUAACAAACCUACAUCUGGAUUCUUUUGAUAUAACAUUCGCAACCAUAAAAUUGUGCAUCAAAAGCAUACAAGAAUUAUUAUAUAAGUAGUUUGACAAAAGAGUUAUGGGAGUAAUGAAAAAUAAUCAGUUGUAAUACUUUUCAUUUCUUCGAACUUCUGCAGCUUUGUAGCGAAAAUUGUGUAUUUAUGACGGCAUUAAUAUAAGUCUAUCGAUUUAUCGAUGGUGUAUAUAAGUAAUAUUCAUUACUUUGCAUAAACUUUGAGGAUAUCCUGCACACUAUAUUAUCUUGCAAGUGUUUCAUGUUUCAAUCGAAUACCUUCGUACGACCUAGUUUAAGUUUCCUAAAAAACAAACUGUAUGUUGUAAUAUUUGCAAGAAUAUAAUAUUUGAAAUAAAAUUUAUUCGUAUUAUUUAUA